rnacentral:rRNA from 1 species
GACGAACGCUGGCGGCGUGCCUAAUACAUGCAAGUUGAGCGCUGAAGGUUGGUACUUGUACCAACUGGAUGAGCAGCGAACGGGUGAGUAACGCGUGGGGAAUCUGCCUUUGAGCGGGGGACAACAUUUGGAAACGAAUGCUAAUACCGCAUAAAAACUUUAAACACAAGUUUUAAGUUUGAAAGAUGCAAUUGCAUCACUCAAAGAUGAUCCCGCGUUGUAUUAGCUAGUUGGUGAGGUAAAGGCUCACCAAGGCGAUGAUACAUAGCCGACCUGAGAGGGUGAUCGGCCACAUUGGGACUGAGACACGGCCCAAACUCCUACGGGAGGCAGCAGUAGGGAAUCUUCGGCCAUGGACGAAAGUCUGACCGAGCAACGCCGCGUGAGGGAAGAAGGUUUUCGGAUCGUAAAACUCUGUUGGUAGAGAAGAACGUUGGUGAGAGUGGAAAGCUCAUCAAGUGACGGUAACUACCCAGAAAGGGACGGCUAACUACGUG